rnacentral:tRNA from 1 species
GCUGGGGCUCAGAGGUAGAGCACUUGUCUAGCAUGCACGAGGCCCUGGAUUCAAUCCCCAGCACAAUA